rnacentral:lncRNA from 1 species
GUUGGAAAGCUGCAAACAUUUUGUUGAAUUUUUUAAUUUCAACAAAAGACUCUUCAUCAGAUUAACAAAAUUUCAGAUUGUCUCAAAGCUUUGCACAUUUUUAUUUUUAUUUCAAAACAGUCAAACCAGGACGAUGCCCGCGCAAUGCCUUUGGUAAGGACAGGCGGUGUCCCAGAAGACAAGAUUCAUGCUCUAAUGACUUUGAUUGCUCCAGUAACUGGAAAUGCUGCAAUAGUCAUUGUGGAGCCACCCGAAAAGGGUGAUAUCUGUCAGAGGAAGCUUGAGGUGAAAAAGAUUGAGGAGAAAUGAAACUCAUCAAGACAACUGGCUGCCGUUCCUGCAGCGAGCACGCAGCAUCAGCUGGGCUCAUUGGACGUGAACGCCUCACCUGGACUGUCCACACACUCUCCGGGCUCUUCAGGUUUGUCGAGUGCCCACACGCCAGCACGACCUUCCAGCACGUCCAGCACAGGCAGCAGGGGCAGGUGAGCAACUGUGAAGCUAUUUUAAUACCACAACGCUCAGUAUUUAUCGAAUCCAUAACACGUCAAAGCCACUGCAGUUUAAAGGAACUCAGUAGUGCCUGCGACUUUGAAAUGUAGGACUUAUAUUGGGAAGAGUGCGUUGGUAUUUUCAGAUAUUCCAGUGCUGCUGGAAGCAACAUUAGAGCACAGGACGGAACUUUGUGCUAUUAUUGUGUGUCAUGG